rnacentral:misc_RNA from 1 species
GAAAGUUUUGUGAUAUGUCUUUGCCCAUCCAAUAGAAAAAUUGAUCGCAGCUUUUGAGCACUCUUCAACAUGGAGGGAUUUUUAGGUACCACCUCAUUGCCAAACAUUGAUAAGUGGCGUGUCGCCACAGGAAUGAUAACCUCCUCGCCAAGUUCUGCUGUAAAACAAUCAACACCGCCUACAGAUUUGGCAAGAUCGUGAACAA